CAUCCCGAUGAUGGUUUAACAAGAAAGUUAAAAGUAGUGUCCGAAUCUCUUUGAUGAAAUCAUUAACUCUGAGGGAUG
rnacentral:snoRNA from 1 species